rnacentral:misc_RNA from 3 species
CACCACUCAAGCUAUGCUUGGUAUUGGGUGUCGUCCUUAGUUGGGCGCGCCUUAAAGACCUCGGCGAGGCCUCCCCGGCUUUAGGCGUAGUAGAAUUUAUUCGAACGUCUGUCAAAGGAGAGGAACUCUGCCGACUGAAACCUUUAUUUUUACA